rnacentral:misc_RNA from 1 species
GAGAGAGAGAGAGAGAGAGAGAGGAAAGGAAGAGAAAUCGAAUCUGCCUUAACUAGCGAGGAAAAGAACGGAACGGAAAUAAUGGGGGAGGUUCGCGGAGGAUGCUGUCCGCCGAUGGAUCUGUUCAGGUCGGAGGCGAUGCAAUUGGUGCAGCUCAUCAUACCCAUCGAAUCAGCCCAUGUCACGGUCUCUUAUCUCGGCGACCUCGGCUUCCUUCAAUUCAAAGAUCUCAAUUCAGAGAAGAGCCCAUUUCAGAGAACUUAUGCUGCUCAGAUAAAAAAAUGUGGAGACAUGGCACGGAAGUUACGUUUUUUCAAGGAGCAAAUGGAUAAGGCGGGUGUGUCACCUUCAUCAAAGCCUGUGACACAAACUGACAUUGAUAUGGAUGGCCUAGAUUUAAAACUUGGAGAACUUGAGGCAGAACUAGUAGAAAUGAAUGCAAAUAAUGAUAAAUUACAGCGCACUUACAAUGAGCUUAUAGAAUAUAAGCUUGUUCUCCUAAAGGCUGGUGAGUUUUUUUCUUCAGCAUUAAGUAGUGCAACUGCUCAGCAGAGGGAAAUAGAAUCACAUCAAGUUGGUGAAGAAUCACUAGACACUCCUUUACUAGCUGACCAAGAAAUAUCAACUGAUUCAUCAAAGCAAGUAAAGUUGGGGUUUCUCACUGGCCUUGUUCCCAAGGAAAAGUCUUUGGCGUUUGAAAGGAUUAUAUUCCGUGCUACUAGGGGCAAUGUGUUUAUCAGGCAGUCUGCUAUUGAAGUGCCUGUAAUUGAUCCUAUUUCUGGGGAGAAGAUUGAGAAGAAUGUAUUCGUUGUAUUCUAUUCUGGGGAAAGAGCUAAAACCAAAAUACUCAAAAU